UGUCGUCAGCUCGUGUUGUGAAAUGUUGGGUUAAGUCCCGCAACGAGCGCAACCCUUAUCCUUUGUUGCCAGCGAUUAGGUCGGGAACUCAAAGGAGACUGCCAGUGAUAAACUGGAGGAAGGUGGGGAUGACGUCAAGUCAUCAUGGCCCUUACGACCAGGGCUACACACGUGCUACAAUGGCGCAUACAAAGAGAAGCGACCUCGCGAGAGCAAGCGGACCUCAUAAAGUGCGUCGUAGUCCGGAUUGGAGUCUGCAACUCGACUCCAUGAAGUCGGAAUCGCUAGUAAUCGUGGAUCAGAAUGCCACGGUGAAUACGUUCCCGGGCCUUGUACACACCGCCCGUCACACCAUGGGAGUGGGUUGCAAAAGAAGUAGGUAGCUUAACCUUCGGGAGGGCGCUUACCACUUUGUGAUUCAUGACUGGGGUGAAGUCGUAACAAGGUAACCGUAGGGGAACC
rnacentral:rRNA from 1 species